GACGAACGCUGGCGGCGUGCUUAACACAUGCAAGUCGAACGGAAAGGCCCUGCUUUUGUGGGGUGCUCGAGUGGCGAACGGGUGAGUAACACGUGAGUAACCUGCCCUUGACUUUGGGAUAACUUCAGGAAACUGGGGCUAAUACCGGAUAGGAGCUCCUGCUGCAUGGUGGGGGUUGGAAAGUUUCGGCGGUUGGGGAUGGACUCGCGGCUUAUCAGCUUGUUGGUGGGGUAGUGGCUUACCAAGGCUUUGACGGGUAGCCGGCCUGAGGGGGUGACCGGCCACAUUGGGACUGAGAUACGGCCCAGACUCCUACGGGAGGCAGCAGUGGGGAAUAUUGACCAAGGGGCGGAAGCCUGAUGCAGCAACGCCGCGUGCGGGAUGACGGCCUUCGGGUUGUAAACCGCUUUCGCCUGUGACGAAGCGUGAGUGACGGUAAUGGGUAAAGAAGCACCGGCUAACUACGUG
rnacentral:rRNA from 1 species